CAUCUCACUCUCUCUCUCCCCUUAACGUCUCAAAAUCAAUCAACGCCCUCGUCUCAGCCUCAUCUCCACCCGGCCCCUUAACCGUCUCGUCUCCUCCCUCCGUUUCCUCCUGCCGGACGGCAAACCUCUUCUUCCCUCACUGACCUCUGCCUCAUCUCCUCCACCACCACCUCCGAUUCCCAAUACAUAUAGGCCAUCCAUCCUACCUCGAUUCCAGCCACCUCGACACAGAUAAAAAUCGUCAGUGACCGACCAAGCAACAAACUCUCAUCCAGCCAGCAACGCCCUCCCUCUGCCAUGAUUUUGCUGCAAUUAGAUUUGAAGCAGUUUUCGAGGAGAGGAGAGGUUACCCACCAAAAGCACCAUAAAUUAUGGAGCGAAUUCAUUGUGUGUUCAACGAGUUCCGAGCCCUGCCUGAAGAUUUGCCAUCUACCUCGUUAAGUUAAGACGACAAAGGGAAGGGGAAAAAUCAAAGAUUGAAUUGUGAUGCUGUGGGGACCUGUGAUGUCAAACUGGGGAUGGGAAGUUGGUCAGGCCUGUAGCAAGAAUAAUUUUGUCCUUCCAACUGCAGAAGCUUGCUGUUUAAGUAAGGUUGCCUGCUCCCCAAGCAAAAGAAUUGGAGGCUCGUCGACAUAGAAUUUUCACUUGGGAGCUAUCGUGAGUCUCUGCUAUAGUAUUGUGGAACUUUUCACUUGGGAUGGAUUGAGCCAUGUCAUACAGAUAUUAAGAUGCUGAUGAAAGAUCUUCCUGGAGAUAAAGUUAGUUUAAUCAGGGGGAAACAAAUGCUUGCGCUGACCGGAUUGCAGCAUCUCCUUACAGUGUUUCCUGUAUAGUGACCAUAGAAGAGUGAAUUGUCCUGACUGAUGAGUGUGUUGAGUUUCAUUCUUCUGUAAACAACUGCAGUGCAUUCGAUAUUGGAUCACAUGAAUAAAAGAGUUUCCCGUCUACGCCAA